GACGAACGCUGGCGGCGUGCCAACACCUUGAAGAAGGCUGAGUGGUAAUUUCAAAUCUAGUGGCGAACGGGUGAGUAACGCGUAGACAACCUACCUCUUAGAUGGGGACAACAUCGCGAAAGCGGUGCUAAUACCGAAUGAAGUGACUUCCCUGCAUGGGAGAGAUACUAAAGGUGGCCUCUAUUUAUAAGCUACCACUGAGAGAUGGGUCUGCGUCUGAUUAGCUAGUUGGCGGGGUAACGGCCCACCAAGGCGACGAUCAGUAGCCGGUCUGAGAGGAUGAACGGCCACAUUGGGACUGAGACACGGCCCAAACUCCUACGGGAGGCAGCAGUGGGGAAUCUUCCGCAAUGGACGAAAGUCUGACGGAGCAACGCCGCGUGAGUGAAGAAGGUUUUCGGAUCGUAAAGCUCUGUUGUUUGAGACGAAUGUGCCUGUUUCGAAUAGGGAUAGGUAAUGACGGUAUUAAACGAGAAAGCCACGGCUAACUACGUGCCAGCAGCCGCCGCAG
rnacentral:rRNA from 1 species